UACGUAGGGACCGAGCGUUGUCCGGAAUCAUUGGGCGUAAAGGGCGCGUAGGCGGCCAGCUCAAGUCAGUUGUGAAAUCUCCGAGCUUAACUCGGAAAGGUCAACUGAUACUGUGCGGCUAGAGUCCGGAAGAGGAGAGUGGAAUUCCCAGUGUAGAGGUGAAAUUCGUAGAUAUUGGGAAGAACACCGGUGGCGAAGGCGGCGACCUGGUCCGUGACUGACGCUGAGGCGCGAAAGCGUGGGGAGCAAACAGG
rnacentral:rRNA from 1 species